GCGAGACAGCUCAGUGUGUGUGUGGUGAGUCGCCGAGGUCGGAGGUAGCCUAGGAGCUCUCUCUCUCGCCGCGCUCGUGUCCCGACUCGUGUCCCGACUCACGCCCGACUUCCACCUCCCGACGAGGGAACUUUGAACUUUACUUGAACUUACAUAAAUUUGGGUCUCAGUCUCGCGGCUCAUUCUAAAGUACUUUUGGUCCUGCGACUGACUGGGGACUUUAGGUACGUUUGGUCCUGUGACGAACUUUGUACUUUUAGAUACGUUGGCUCGUGUGGCUGACUUUGAAUUUAAGUACUUUUGAUCUCGCGACGAACUUUAAAACUUACGUAGAUUAUAUUGGUCGUGUGACAUUCACUAGAUAGAGGAAUAGUUGUUUAAUGAGUCGUAUUGGUGCUAACUGCGACCAAAUGAUCAUUUUUUUCCCCUUUUUGAACGCAACUUAAAUGUAUCUCAUAAGUGAUACACAUUGGUAUCGAUUUUAGAAACGCAUUUUAGGUGAGACUAUUUUAAACUAGAUGAAAGACCGAGCGAGUAUCUCUCAAAACAAUUUAAAUAGACCAAAACUCAAAUAGUGUUUUCGAAAGAAAAAGAAAAAGAAAGAAAGAAACACGAACAGUGCGCGGAAGAUAUGCAAAAGUUCGAGAGCUAUUACAGACCAAAAAGUUCAUCAAUAAAUACACACGCAAUCAAAUGGAAAUAAACCCAUUUACCGAAAUACUCCAUAAAUAAAUAAAUAAAUAAAUAAAGGUCGAAAAGUGGUACAGAAACUAAUCAACCCAGAUACAAACAGAAAAAAAAUAAAAACUACGUGAAAAAGUCUGCUUAAAGAUGAAUAGACACGAAGAACAGCAGAGAUCCAGAACUCAGAGCACAGACAACGUGCCACCCACACCAGAUGAUACCUAUCCACGCCCACGCCCGGAGAAACCAACCCACACAGCCUAACCGGAGAGAACUUCAAGGGAAAACACGAAUUAUCUCAUCACCAACCACAACAGGAGAUUCAACAGUGAGACAAACCACCGAAGGGAUUCUGCCAUCAGCUGUUGCAACUCCAUGGAACAGCUGUAAUCACGAGAGAGACCUGAGUCUGAGAAACGACACACGCGAGGGAGUGCACGACCGAGACACGACAACAACACGUUCCCGACAAGAUCCCGCUGUUUAAAGGGACGCGACCGGGGGGUGCCAUGACUCGCUCCGCUCCCAGGGCCUCCUCCGCCGCCCCCCCGAAGAAGAUGGUGGCACCGGAGACGUCAAAAAGAGCCCCUUGGACUUUGUGCCUUUGAUGACCCUUCUCUCGGACUCUGUCACCUCGGACGAACGACUACCAUGGAUGGGAAGGUCGUGCCGCCGACCCUGCCCACGUUCGGUCACUCAACAGUAUAUGUGUACCCGACAAUCUCUCGAGGGUGGUCGUGGUGCCCAUUCUCUCCUGCAUCUUCGGGUUUCCUGUGCUCGUCCUGCUGGUUAUCUGCGGCCUCCGGUACAGGGCGAGGAGGGCGAGGACAGCUGCCAAGAAAGCACAUGCCGUCGAACCCUCUAUUAUGGAGCUGUCUUCAGGGCCUUCCAUUCUCUCUGGUCGCUGCAGUAACGG
rnacentral:lncRNA from 1 species